GUUAGGAAUAUUGGACAAUGGGCGCAAGCCUGAUCCAGCCAUGCCGCGUGAGUGAUGAAGGCCUUCGGGUUGUAAAGCUCUUUAGUCCACGAAUAUAAUGACUGUAGUGGAAGAAUAAGCCCCGGCUAACUUCGUGCCAGCAGCCGCGGUAAUACGAAGGGGGCGAGCGUUAUUCGGAAUCACUGGGCGUAAAGCGUGCGUAGGCUGUUUUGUAAGUCAGAAGUGAAAGCCCAGGGCUUAACCCUGGAAUUGCUUUUGAAACUACAAGACUCGAACUCGGGAGAGGAUAGCGGAAUUGUCAGUGUAGCAGUGAAAUGCGUAGAUAUUGACAGGAACACCAGUGGCGCAAGCGGCUAUCUGGACCGAUAUUGACGCUGAGGCACGAAAGCGUGGGGAGCAAACAGGAUUAGAUACCCUGGUAGUCC
rnacentral:rRNA from 1 species